GUUUUGCAAUUUCAAUUUAUGUUGUCUUUUCCUUUCAUGGGAUAUGUUUAUCCCUCAGAGCUCUGGGUUUGCUUCUGACAGAGCUUGGCUUUCAACUUUCCUGAGGAGAUGGUGAUCAAAAUGGAGAAAACAUGUAUUUUGACUGAGCUCAAUAGAGAUGUGGAGGAAUCUCAAAAAACCUGAAAUUAUUCAUGACAUUAUUAUCACAGCACGAUGAAAUAUCAGAAGCUAUUACUUAAGCAACAGUUGAAUGAGUUACAAAAAACUCAUUGUUUGCUGAUUGGCUUCAUUUUCCCUGCACCGUGGUUUGGAAAGUGCCUCUAGGAAGAGAGAGAGCAAGGUAAUAUUUUC
rnacentral:lncRNA from 1 species